AGAGUUUGAUCCUGGCUCAGAUUGAACGCUGGCGGCAUGCCUUACACAUGCAAGUCGAACGGCAGCGCGGACUUCGGUCUGGCGGCGAGUGGCGAACGGGUGAGUAAUGCCUAGGAAUCUGCCCAUUAGCGGGGGACAACGUGCGGAAACGCACGCUAAUACCGCAUACGCCCUACGGGGGAAAGCAGGGGACUCUUUGAGCCUUGCACUAAUGGAUGAGCCUAGGUCAGAUUAGCUAGUUGGUGGGGUAAAGGCCUACCAAGGCGACGAUCUGUAGCGGGUCUGAGAGGAUGAUCCGCCACACUGGAACUGAGACACGGUCCAGACUCCUACGGGAGGCAGCAGUGGGGAAUAUUGGACAAUGGGCGCAAGCCUGAUCCAGCCAUGCCGCGUGUGUGAAGAAGGCCUUUUGGUUGUAAAGCACUUUAAGCGAGGAGGAGGCUACUGGUACUAAUAUUACCAGCUAGUGGACGUUACUCGCAGAAUAAGCACCGGCUAACUCUGUGCCAGCAGCCGCGGUAAUACAGAGGGUGCGAGCGUUAAUCGGAAUUACUGGGCGUAAAGCGCGCGUAGGCGGUUUGUUAAGUCGGAUGUGAAAUCCCCGGGCUCAACCUGGGAAUUGCAUUCGAUACUGGCAAGCUAGAGUAUGGGAGAGGAAGGUAGAAUUCCAGGUGUAGCGGUGAAAUGCGUAGAGAUCUGGAGGAAUACCGAUGGCGAAGGCAGCCUUCUGGCCUAAUACUGACGCUGAGGUGCGAAAGCAUGGGGAGCAAACAGGAUUAGAUACCCUGGUAGUCCAUGCCGUAAACGAUGUCAACUAGCCGUUGGGGGAUUUGAUCCUUUAGUGGCGCAGCUAACGCGAUAAGUUGACCGCCUGGGGAGUACGGUCGCAAGACUAAAACUCAAAUGAAUUGACGGGGGCCCGCACAAGCGGUGGAGCAUGUGGUUUAAUUCGAUGCAACGCGAAGAACCUUACCUGGUCUUGACAUAGUGAGAAUUGGGCAGAGAUGCCCGAGUGCCUUCGGGAAUUCACAUACAGGUGCUGCAUGGCUGUCGUCAGCUCGUGUCGUGAGAUGUUGGGUUAAGUCCCGCAACGAGCGCAACCCUUGUCAUUAGUUGCUACGAAAGGGCACUCUAAUGAGACUGCCGGUGACAAACCGGAGGAAGGUGGGGAUGACGUCAAGUCCUCAUGGCCCUUAUGGGUAGGGCUUCACACGUCAUACAAUGGUACAUACAGAGGGCCGCCAACCCGCGAGGGGGAGCUAAUCCCAGAAAGUGUAUCGUAGUCCGGAUCGCAGUCUGCAACUCGACUGCGUGAAGUUGGAAUCGCUAGUAAUCGCGGAUCAGCAUGCCGCGGUGAAUACGUUCCCGGGUCUUGUACACACCGCCCGUCACACCAUGGGAGCGGGUUUUACCAGAAGUAGGUAGCUUAACCGUAAGGAGGGCGCUUACCACGGUAGGAUUCGUGACUGGGGUGAAGUCGUAACAAGGUAACC
rnacentral:rRNA from 1 species